GCCUAUUUCUGUAUUCCUUCCCCACUCGAUCUCAAAAUAUAUAUAUAUGACAUAUAUAUUACACCCCAUAAUAAUAAUAAAACCCUGCCCCGUUUUAAGUGUUGUAAUCCCUGGUCACUGAUGCCCUGUCCGACUGACGUAGGACCCCAUAACGUAUGUCAAGGCUCUGCCUAAAUUCGUUAGGGUUCUGUCCCGUGACGUAGGGAUAAUGUGGAAUUGGGUUACUAUACUUAUUGUGAGUACAUUAUAUAUUUUAUUAAAUAGUCCAGGAGUUGUACCCAAAAUAUAACAAACCUCCCGAAUAUUUUUCUGACACCCUACACUUCCUAAAAUACACCCCGUACGUGAAAACCAAGCCGAAAUACAAUAUAGUAUUAAAAAUAAAUAAAGAACAAGAAAUAAUAAGUUGAGGCGGGCCGCAUAGACCCACUCUAACCUUUAACGCAGGCCGCAUUAAGGUGUAACCGGACUCCGCUGGAAUCUUUAGUUCAUGCGGGCCGCGUAAGAUAUCGUUAAGUUAACGCGGGCCGCGAGAGAUCGAAGUUGUGGCGCAGCCCGGUGAUGACACGUGUCAUCAUCGUGACGGGUCUAGGGGGUGAGCCGGACAAGCUAGUCCGUUGACCAGGAUUGACGCGGGCCGCAUAAUCCCUGUCCAUUCUUUACGCGGGCCGCGUGGGAACCAGUUUCAGCAACUAUAUAAGGAACGCAUCGGAUUUCAAUUCAGUUUGUUCAUUUGUCAAUUCUCAAAUCACAAUUUCUGUAGUAGGCUUAUUAUACUCGGGUAUUAUACCCCUAAUUAGCGAAGCUCUGCCUCGUUAUUAUAACCAGGAAGCCACAAAGGAAAUACCUAAAAUAGCAAUGUAACACAAUGUGAAAGCCAAUUAUAAUAGAGCCAGCUCGAGAGUACUGACGGCUUGGAAGAACGUGGCUAUAAAAGUUACCUUAAAGACGAUGUUUUAAAUUCAAUAAAAUAAGGGUUAUCCCUAUAAACAUGUUGUAAUAAAAAUCUUGGGUUUUACCCAUGUGAUUAUAAAAUAAAAUAUGGUGGUUUUACUCUGAUAAAA